UCUUAUUCAGAGUGGCGGAGGUACAUAGGACCGAUGAAACCACGGCAACCCCGGCGAAUGCAGGAAGGUGCCAACCUGAGCAAUUUAUUUGAACAAUAAG
rnacentral:ncRNA from 1 species